rnacentral:rRNA from 1 species
GGAGUUUGGGCCGUGUCUCAGUCCCAAUGUGGCCGGUCGCCCUCUCAGGCCGGCUACGGAUCAUCACCUUGGUAGGCCGUUACCCUGCCAACAAGUUAAUCCGACGCGGGCCCAUCCUGCACCGAUAAAUCUUUCCACCCGGCACCAUGCGGUGCUGUGUGCAUAUGCGGUAUUAACAGUCGUUUCCAACUGUUAUCCCCCUGUGCAGGGCAGGUUACCCACGUGUUACUCACCCAUCCGCCGCUAAGUUAAAUCCGAAAACUUAACUCCGCUCGACUUGCAUGUGUUAGGCACGCCGCCAGCGUUCAUC